rnacentral:tRNA from 1 species
GCUGUGGCUCAUUGGUAGAGCACUAGCCUAGCAAGUGGGAGCCCUGGGUUCAAUCCCUAGCCCUGCA